UCAAACUUGGUCAUUUAGAGGAAGUAAAAGUCGUAACAAGGUAACCGUAGGUGAACCUGCGGUUGGAUCAUUAAUAAAUUUCUUUAAAAAUGUAACUAAAAAGUGUUUUAAAAGACCUUUUUAUUACGUUUUUAACAAAUUUGUGAAUAUUAUUUAACGUUUUUUGGGUAGAUCAAUCUUUUUUGAUUUACCCAACAACUUAUUUAAACCAAAUUAUCCUUUUAAAAAAGUCUUUAAUUAUUUUUAAAAAUUAAAUAAUCAAAAACAACUUUUAACAACGGAUCUCUUGGCUCUCGCAUCGAUGAAGAACGCAGC
rnacentral:misc_RNA from 1 species